GGAGGAGUGCGGCGAAUUGGUAAGCCAACAUCCUGCUAAGAUGUAACUCCGCAAGGGGUUUGUGGGUUCGAGUCCCACCUCCUCCG
rfam:Candidatus Staskawiczbacteria bacterium RIFCSPHIGHO2_01_FTLL_36_16 rifcsphigho2_01_scaffold_11171, whole genome shotgun sequence.